AUCCUACGUCGUGGUGAUUUGGCCGGUCGGCUUGCAGCCACGUUAAAGAAAUUGCUAAAGGGCCGCGAACAAGUCCGG
rnacentral:ncRNA from 2 species